GACAGAGGGUGCAAACGUUGUUCGGAAUUACUGGGCGUAAAGCGCGUGUAGGCGGCCCUGCAAGUCGGAUGUGAAAUCCCACGGCUCAACCGUGGAAGUGCAUUCGAAACUGCAGGGCUAGAGUCCUGGAGAGGAAGGUGGAAUUCCCGAAGUAGAGGUGAAAUUCGUAGAUAUCGGGAGGAACACCGGUGGCGAAGGCGACCAUCUGGACGGAUACUGACGCUGAGACGCGAAAGCGUGGGUAGCAAACAGG
rnacentral:rRNA from 1 species